UACGGGGGAAAGGGGCUUUCAAUAAAGAAUUUCUCUUUUUAGUGUUUUGUGUUGUUGGCACAAAAUUCUAGUAUUUGGAAUGAGAAAUUGAUGUUGUGAAGCAAUUUGUGCGGAGACUAGACUUAGUGUCUGUCGCACAAGCAAAUUGCGAACUCAUCGAUUUAUCGUCCAAAGACGAAUUUUUUAUUGAAAGCCUUCGCUAAAGGAUCAGCCUAUGUCCUAUCAGCUUGUUGGUGAGGUAAUGGCUCACCAAGGCUAUGACGGGUAUCCGGCCUGAGAGGGUGAUCGGACACACUGGAACUGAGACACGGUCCAGACUCCUACGGGAGGCAGCAGUAGGGAAUAUUGCUCAAUGGGGGAAACCCUGAAGCAGCAACGCCGCGUGGAGGAUGAAGGUUUUAGGAUUGUAAACUCCUUUUGUAAGAGAAGAUUAUGACGGUAUCUUACGAAUAAGCACCGGCUAACUCCGUGCCAGCAGCCGCGGUAAUACGGAGGGUGCAAGCGUUACUCGGAAUCACUGGGCGUAAAGAGCGCGUAGGCGGGUGGUCAAGUCAGAUGUGAAAUCCUGUAGCUUAACUACAGAACUGCAUUUGAAACUGAUCAUCUAGAGUAUGGGAGAGGUAGGUGGAAUUCUUGGUGUAGGGGUAAAAUCCGUAGAGAUCAAGAGGAAUACUCAUUGCGAAGGCGACCUGCUGGAACAUUACUGACGCUGAUGUGCGAAAGCGUGGGGAGCAAACAGGAUUAGAUACCCUGGUAGUCCACGCCCUAAACGAUGAAUGCUAGUUGUUGCCCUGCUUGUCAGGGCAGUAAUGCAGCUAACGCAUUAAGCAUUCCGCCUGGGGAGUACGGUCGCAAGAUUAAAACUCAAAGGAAUAGACGGGGACCCGCACAAGCGGUGGAGCAUGUGGUUUAAUUCGAAGAUACGCGAAGAACCUUACCUAGGCUUGACAUUGAUAGAAUCUGCUAGAGAUAGCGGAGUGCCCUUCGGGGAGCUUGAAAACAGGUGCUGCACGGCUGUCGUCAGCUCGUGUCGUGAGAUGUUGGGUUAAGUCCCGCAACGAGCGCAACCCUCGUCCUUAGUUGCUAGCAGCUCGGCUGAGCACUCUAAGGAGACUGCCUUCGUAAGGAGGAGGAAGGUGAGGACGACGUCAAGUCAUCAUGGCCCUUACGCCUAGGGCUACACACGUGCUACAAUGGGACAUACAAAAAGAUGCAAUACCGCGAGGUGGAGCAAAUCUCUAAAAUGUCUCUCAGUUCGGAUUGUAGUCUGCAACUCGACUACAUAAAGCUGGAAUCGCUAGUAAUCGUG
rnacentral:rRNA from 1 species